AGCCACAGCCAUAUCACCCUGCAGCCCAAGACCGGUUACCCGCUGAAGCUAAGCAGGGCUGAGCCUGGUCAGAACCUGUAUGGGAGUCCACAUGGGAAAACUAGGUUGCUGUUGGAA
rnacentral:rRNA from 1 species